AACGAACGCUGGCGGCAGGCUUAACACAUGCAAGUCGAACGCCCCGCAAGGGGAGUGGCAGACGUGUGAGUAACGCGUGGGAACAUACCCUUUCCUGCGGAAUAGCUCCGGGAAACUGGAAUUAAUACCGCAUACGCCCUACGGGGGAAAGAUUUAUCGGGGAAGGAUUGGACCGCGUUGGAUUAGCUAGUUGGUGGGGUAAAGGCCUACCAAGGCGACGAUCCAUAGCUGGUCUGAGAGGAUGAUCAGCCACAUUGGGACUGAGACACGGCCCAAACUCCUACGGGAGGCGGCAGUGGGGAAUAUUGGACAAUGGGCGCAAGCCUGAUCCAGCCAUGCCGCGUGAGUGAUGAAGGCCUUAGGGUUGUAAAGCUCUUUCACCGAUGAAGAUAAUGACGGUAGUCGGAGAAGAAGCCCCGGCUAACUUCGUGCCAGCCGCCGCCGUAA
rnacentral:rRNA from 1 species